CGAGGCUGGUUGUCUUCAGUUGGUCUCUGUAGAAGUGGAUUCCAACAGAUAUUUGCUGGCAAGUAAAUGUGAGCAGAUGAUGACCGCCAUUCUGUUACUCUCAAAUACUUUGCAAUGAAUGAUCACACCUACAUCAGAUCCAAAGGCUAAUAAAGCUCACCAGCACAAGCGCUGCUCCAGGACGCCUUCAGGGGUCACUGCGUCGCGGAACCUUGAGGACAUGCAGCUAGGACCGGGAUGCAGCCAGGACGCUGCCGGGACGCCAGUUAUCUUUGCUUCCCUCCGCCCGCAACACUCGUGAUCUGAAAAGCUCCAGGAAAGCUGCCCGCGGAAACACGGAAACACGGAGACGCGCUACCGAGUGGGCGCCUUAGACCCACGCCUCAAGGACACACUCUGCCCUUGGACGCACAGUCCCAACGCCCCUAGGUGUAAUAAACACAAAAAACAAACUUGGCACAAAUGAGCUCCCCGCCCCCAACUCCCAAGCUGCGGCUUCCCCACUAUUCGGAUGGGUCAGAGCUGAAGUCAGAGAAUCUCGCGUGGACCGCGGCUUACCUACGUCUCCUGGCCGUUUUAUCCACCUAAUAGCCACCUUGCCUCGUGGUAGUGACAGGUCCGGAUCACUUCUUCGGUGUGCCAACUCUGAACUUCUGAUGGUGCCGAGGGGAGCUGCCAACGAAUACAGAAAGUUUUCACCAAUAGAAACCGAACUCCUCUUGGCUCAGCUAAACCUGCAACCGCCCUCAGACCCUCUAGGUGGCGCAGGCUGCUCUUUGGGGAAGACUGGGACCCUUAAUCCUGCACACAGCUCCAGCGUCCUAAGCAUCUGGGCAGCAAUUGGGAAAUGGGUCCCUGCUUCGCCUACAAAGCUCCCUUCUCCUCAAAACCUACCUCAUCACUUUUGGCAGUCCCUUGGUUUUGUUCAUUGUCAUGUCCAGGUCACGGAGCAAAUGCAAUAUUUUGGAUUACUUGUCUAAAGUCUCUGAAACACUCUUCAGUCCCUGGCAACUUUGAUGCCAACCUGAGCUACAUGACAAGACUAUUUCAAGAAAUGUCAAUAAACAAACUGUGUG
ensembl:lncRNA